AGCAGCCGCGGUAAUUCCAGCUCCAAUAGCGUAUAUUAAAGUUGUUGCAGUUAAAAAGCUCGUAGUUGAAUUUCGGGAUCAAUAUGCCGGUCAUGCCUUGGUAUGCACUGGUAUCUUUGAUUUCUCCCUUCUGACGAACUUUGAUGUCAUUAAUUUGGUGUCAUAGGGAAUCAGGACUGUUACUUUGAAAAAAUUAGAGUGUUUAAAGCAAGCUCACGCUUGAAUACAUUAGCAUGGAAUAAUGAAAUAGGACGUUUGAUUCUAUUUUGUUGGUUUCUAGGAUCGACGUAAUGAUUAAUAGGGAUAGUUGGGGGCAUUAGUAUUCAAUUGUCAGAGGUGAAAUUCUUGGAUUUAUUGAAGACUAACUACUGCGAAAGCAUUUGCCAAGGAUGUUUUCAUUAAUCAAGAACGAAAGUUAGGGGAUCGAAGACGAUCAGAUACCGUCGUAGUCUUAACCAUAAACUAUGCCGACUAGGGAUCGGAUGAUGUUAAUUUUUUAAUGACUCAUUC
rnacentral:rRNA from 1 species